rnacentral:rRNA from 1 species
GGGCCCGCACAAGCGGAGGAACAUGUGGUUUAAUUCGAUGAUACGCGAGGAACCUUACCCGGGCUCGAACGGUGCAGGAAUAUGGUAGAGAUAUCAUAGCUAGCAAUAGUCUGUAUCGAGGUGCUGCAUGGUUGUCGUCAGCUCGUGCCGUGAGGUGUCGGCUUAAGUGCCAUAACGAGCGCAACCCUUGUCAUUAGUUACCAUCAGGUCAAGCUGGGGACUCUAAUGAGACUGCCACCGUAAGGUGAGAGGAAGGGGGGGAUGACGUCAAAUCAGCACGGCCCUUAUGUCCGGGGCGACACACGUGUUACAAUGGGGGGUACAGAGGGCAGCCAUCCGGCGACGGAGCGCCAAUCUCAAAAACCCUUCUCAGUUCGGAUUGGAGUCUGCAACCCGACUCCAUGAAGUUGGAUUCGCUAGUAAUCGCGCAUCAGCCAUGGCGCGGUGAAUACGUUCCCGGGCCUU